rnacentral:tRNA from 1 species
GGGGUUAUAGUUCAGUGGGAGAACGCUUCGCUGGCAGCGAAGAGGUCAGGGGUUCGACCCCCCUUAACUCCA